UGAGGUUCUUAGGAACCAGAGGUGGAGAUCGCAGGGAAUCCCACCUAUGUUGAGCAGUUAGUGCGGAUCAUGGACACACAAGUCAGGAAGUUGAGGAACACGGAAUCCUGAUGGUGAAAGCCUUGGAAUCACCGUUUAAUGGAAAAAGUAUGCCUAGGAGACCCGGGAGUUCGUACUCCAGCUAGUAUCUGUGUCUCUCUUUGGAGAGAGAUUUUAGGCUUUGCUUGCUUGUUUGCUUGCUUGGUUAUGUAUACUUGAU
rnacentral:lncRNA from 1 species